GUUGAUUCCCUUUAUGUAUUUAAAUGUUUCUAUCAUAUCUCAUCUUUCCUCCAAGCUAUACAUGUUAAGAUCCUUUAACCUUUCCUGGUAAUUUUUAUCCCGCAAUCCAUGAACCAGUUUAGUUUGCCCUUCUCUGAACCCUCUCUAAGGUAUCAAUAUCCUUCUGAAGAUACGGUCUCCAGUACUGUGGAGUGUUCUGUACAAUGGCAUGAGCACUUCCCUCUUUCUACUGCUAAUACCUCUCCCUAUAC